rnacentral:rRNA from 1 species
UACGGAGGGUGCGAGCGUUGUCCGGAAUCACUGGGCGUAAAGGGCGCGUAGGCGGUCUGCUAAGCGUGCGGUGAAAGCCUGGGGCUCAACCCCAGGUCUGCCGUGCGAACUGGUGGACUAGAGCACUGUAGAGGCAGGUGGAAUUCCGGGUGUAGCGGUGGAAUGCGUAGAUAUCUGGAGGAACACCGGUGGCGAAGGCGGCAUCCUGGACCACGACUGACGCUGAGUGAGCGAAAGCCAGGGGAGCAAACGGG